AAGAGGUCAUCUGUGUCGUUCUUUUCAGAACAGGCAGGAAAAAUGUUACCACAGAGGCAACCGCAGCCAAGGGAGGGUAACUGACCUGCCCAAGGUGGGACAGCUGGCAACGGAAAGGCGGGGUGGAGGCAGGGACUGUCAUGGUGCUCUUUCUUUGAAUUAUAUUGAACUAUAAUUUGCCUUGACAACUAUCGAGUUGACUAGAUUAAAUCUUCCCAGAAACCACUGGCAAGAACAUCCACUGAAUGCUAUUUGCAAGAAAUGCAUUAAAAGACAUUCAUCAGUGAAAAGAGAGACUCCAGCUGCCCAGAAAAGCCUGAUGAAGUUUGCAAAGGAGAUGGCAGUGAGGAAGAGUCCAUGUGAGCCUUCUCAUGACCAUAUCACCCCCAUUUGGUGUUAGAACAGAUUUCGAAUUCCUUUGUUUUGUUUUUGUUCCAUGGUGCUUUUUCCCUAAGUAGUGGUUUCUAUUAAAUCCAUAAAACAG